rnacentral:rRNA from 1 species
GACGUAGGGCGCGAGCGUUGUCCGGAUUUAUUGGGCGUAAAGAGCUCGUAGGCGGCUUGUUGCGUCAGCUGUGAAAACCCGCAGCUCAACUGUGGGCUUGCAGCUGAUACGGGCAGGCUUGAGUUCGGUAGGGGAGACUGGAAUUCCUGGUGUAGCGGUGAAAUGCGCAGAUAUCAGGAGGAACACCGGUGGCGAAGGCGGGUCUCUGGGCCGAAACUGACGCUGAGGAGUGAAAGCGUGGGGAGCGAACAGG